AUUGAACGCUGGCGGCAUGCUUUACACAUGCAAGUCGAACGGUAACAGGCCGCAAGGUGCUGACGAGUGGCGAACGGUUGAGUAAUGCAUCGGAACGUGCCCAGUCGUGGGGGAUAACUACUCGAAAGAGUAGCUAAUACCGCAUACGAUCUAUGGCUGAAAGCGGGGGACCGUAAGGCCUCGCGCGAUUGGAGCGGCCGAUGUCAGAUUAGGUAGUUGGUGGGGUAAAGGCUCACCAAGCCAACGAUCUGUAGCUGGUCUGAGAGGACAACCAGCCACACUGGGACUGAGACACGGCCCAGACUCCUACGGGAGGCAGCAGUGGGGAAUUUUGGACAAUGGGCGCAAGCCUGAUCCAGCAAUGCCGCGUGCAGGAAGAAGGCCUUCGGGUUGUAAACUGCUUUUGUACGGAACGAAACGGCUCUGGUUAAUACCCGGGGCUAAUGACGGUACCGUAAGAAUAAGCACCGGCUAACUACGUG
rnacentral:rRNA from 1 species